UGUGCCUGCAGCCCAUGACUGGACUGGUCAGCUCACUGCUGACUGAGAAGUCCAGAAACAAGUCUGGGAACAUCCCCUCUCCCUGGGCACCAGCAAACUCAUGAAGCAGGGGUCAUAGGACAUGGUAGCAAGAAGUGUGUCUCAGCUGACCUGUGAAUGAGCAAACACCAGACGUCUACCCAUGUCUGAUCUUCUGUGCUGACCUUGGUGACUGGAAAUGACACAACCCAAUUUUUCUGGCGACUCCACUGAACCCCUGAUCUUUUCCUUCAUGUGACAAAUCACACAGCAGAUAUUUCUUCUGAGUACAGAUAGCUGCUCUGAUUGAGAACAAGCAUGAAUUUGGUUAUCUGCCUUCUCCUGUACAUAAGGCCAUUUAUAGGUUCCUCAUCUCCCUUCCAAGGUCCAAAUAAACCUUCCAGUAAUUGUAGCCUCA